rnacentral:rRNA from 1 species
UAGGGAAUCUUCGGCAAUGGACGAAAGUCUGACCGAGCAACGCCGCGUGAGUGAAGAAGGUUUUCGGAUCGUAAAACUCUGUUGUUAGAGAAGAACAAGGACGUUAGUAACUGAACGUCCCCUGAUGGUAUCUAACCAGAAAGCCACGGCUAACUACUUGCCAGCAGCCGCGGUAAUACGUAGGUGGCAAGCGUUGUCCGGAUUUAUUGGGCGUAAAGCGAGCGCAGGCGGUUUCUUAAGUCUGAUGUGAAAGCCCCCGGCUCAACCGGGGAGGGUAAUUGGAAACUGGGGGACUUGGGUGCAGAAGAGGAGAGUGGAAUUCCAUGUGUAGCGGUGAAAUGCGUAGAUAUAUGGAGGAACACCAGUGGCGAAGGCGGCUCUCUGGUCUGUAACUGACGCUGAGGCUCGAAAGCGUGGGGAGCAAACAGG